UUUUUUUUCUUUUUCUGUUGAAAUCAAGCAUUAUUAGUAAACAGCAGUUGGGAGAGCUCGAAGUGCCUAAAUUGUAGGCUUUGUUGGAAACAGGCCUGAAUGGAGCAUGUUCGCAUAAACUGUAUUUUUCUGGGUAGGCUGCAGCGUUAACUAUCCAACUGUGCGAAAGAACUGCUCUCCACGCAGCGGCUCCAGGAAACUACCUGUUCCUCAGUUCAGGAUAUUGCCCAAACGAGAGGAGUCAGCAGUUUCGGUGCAUGUGUUUGUAAAACAGCCCAAGGGACUCCGGCUUAACUUCAAGGAACAAAACGCCCUCUGAGUGUUAAAAGCCUGUCUGUUAAAAAUAAGGAUUAGCAAGGGGUACAAUAUAAGAUUGACGUGGAAAAGGAAAGCCGGAUACUCUAACAAAUGAGCACAUGCUGAAUUCACAUUUCGUGUCCCCCAAAAAGUGUGUAUUCUGUCUUCAUUUGCCCUGAAUUAAGGACUGUAUCAAGUCAGGAGCUCCCAUCGUGGCUCAGUGGCAAUGAACCUGACAAGUAUCCAUGAGGACACAGGGUCAAUCCCUGGCCUCGCUCAGUGGGUUAAGGAUCUGGCGUUGCUGUGAGCUGUGGGCUCACGGCAACGCCGGAUUGUUAACCCACUGAGCAAGGCCAGGGAUCGAACCCACAACCUCAUGGUUCCUAGUCAGAUCCGUCAACCACUGCGCCACGACAGGAACUCCCCCAUUCUGCUGAUUUCAUCUUUCUACUCUGCUCACGUGCAGAUGCGACGGCAAAUACAUCCGUGAGAGCCCGGCCCGUGUCGGCCUCCAAAGGUCCGCGGCAGCUCCGCAAGGCAGCAAAGUCGGGCAGGAAGUGAGUUAUAGCUUCUGCAGACCACACCUAGGAGAUCCCUGGGCUCGGGGCCAAUCACAUCAAAACCCAACAGCACCACCACCAAAGCAGAGAAAUACAACUGCCUCCCUCCCCUUCGGUGGGAAGGAGACAGUUCUCGGUUCUCGAACCCAGGGGUGUGAGGAAUACACCUUCACUGUCUCUGAACUCUGAUGGGGGCUGAAAUCCUCCACUUAGUAGUUACACACAGUUCAAGCCUCUCCCCAGGCCCGUCUUCCCAGAAUGAUGUCUACAUUCCAGGGCCCUCCUUAGUGAGUGCCAAGGUCCAGAAGCAGAGCGGUGCCCGCUCCUCCAAGGGCAUCGCCCGCCCCAGCCUCUGCCCACACCUCCUCUCCCCCAGCACUCCGGGUAUCAUGGAGCCCUCCUCUCCCAAGCACAGGGCCUCCUCAGCCACCCUCUAAGCCAAGCUCCGAGCCUCCCAAUGUCCUCUUGGGAGCAUCUUUCCUCCCCCAUGCUGUGCGAGAGCUCUGGGAAGUGCUGGAAGGCUUCUCUGCUUCCACAGGGCUGGAAGUCACUUCUACCUGGAUGCUCCAGGGCCAUACUGGGGAUGGAACUGGCGUCCCCCCACCUCCCUGAGCUUUGCCUAAACACAGGGCAUGAUUUUCCUCUGCACACGGGCGUCACAGAAUUGGGAGGGGCUUGCACGCACCAACCUUCAGGACUCAGCCCAGACACAGGGCGCGGCCGGCCUCCUCAGGGGCCACACACAUCUUCCCCUCCUCCUUCCGUGCCACCCCUCCGCUCCCCCCACCAAGGGCACCAUUCGGCCCUCGGGAGCAGGGAUGUCUCAGGAGGCUUCCUCUAGGCGUCAAGCAUCCUUCUCAAUCUGCCCUCCGGGCACUGAGUCCUCUGGUGUCCCCAUGAGGACCAGGCUUUGGAAGAGCCAAAGCCAAGCAUGGAUU
rnacentral:lncRNA from 1 species